AGCUGCCGCCGCCAUUCCUUUCCCAACCCAUUUGAAUUCAGAACCUUCUGAGCUCAAAGAAGCGUAUUACGACGAUCCUACCUCUCAGUAAAUGGCUUCAACGUCUUUGCUUCAAGGUCAAAGACAUUGCCGGAGUAUGGUGAGGUCGAUGAUGGUGGAUUGGAAGAGGAAGAGGAUGAUGACCCGGUUUUCGUCUUAACAGACGAGUGGAAGGAGUUUUUCGCAAAAUCUGGAGCCAAGAGGAAACUAGAGAAGCAGCAGGCCAAGAAGAAUCUUACAUGAUAGGUUACUUACAACGGAAUCUUUCUGAUUUAUACAACAUUAUUGCACUUCCAGUAGGGUGAAAGAUCCAUUGAUAGAGUUCUUCAUACAUUGAAAGGCGAUGGUUU